UGGGGAAUAUUGGACAAUGGGCGAAAGCCUGAUCCAGCCACGCCGCGUGUGUGAAGAAGGUCUUCGGAUUGUAAAGCACUUUAAGUUGGGAGGAAGGGCAGUAAGCGAAUACCUUGCUGUUUUGACGUUACCGACAGAAUAAGCACCGGCUAACUCUGUGCCAGCAGCCGCGGUAAUACAGAGGGUGCAAGCGUUAAUCGGAAUUACUGGGCGUAAAGCGCGCGUAGGUGGUUCGUUAAGUUGAAUGUGAAAGCCCCGGGCUCAACCUGGGAACUGCAUCCAAAACUGGCGAGCUAGAGUAGGGCAGAGGGUGGUGGAAUUUCCUGUGUAGCGGUGAAAUGCGUAGAUAUAGGAAGGAACACCAGUGGCGAAGGCGACCACCUGGGCUCAUACUGACACUGAGGUGCGAAAGCGUGGGGAGCAAACAGG
rnacentral:rRNA from 1 species